CCGGGCGGGCUAAAUGCAGUCGAGCGAAUCUUUGGGAGCUUGCUCCCAAUGUUAGCGGCGGACGGGUGAGUAACACGUGGGCAACCUGCCUAUAAGACUGGGAUAACUUCGGGAAACCGGAGCUAAUACCGGAUAAUUCACAUCUACUCAUGUAGAUGUGCUGAAAGACGGUUUACGCUGUCACUUAUAGAUGGGCCCGCGGCGCAUUAGCUAGUUGGUGAGGUAACGGCUCACCAAGGCCACGAUGCGUAGCCCACCUGAGAGGGUGAUCGGCCACACUGGGACUGAGACACGGCCCAGACUCCUACGGGAGGCAGCAGUAGGGAAUCUUCCGCAAUGGACGAAAGUCUGACGGAGCAACGCCGCGUGAGUGAUGAAGGUUUUCGGAUCGUAAAACUCUGUUGUUAGGGAAGAAUAAGUACCAGAGUAACUGCUGGUACCUUGACGGUACCUAACCAGAAAGCCACGGCUAACUACGUGCCAGCAGCCGCGGUAAUACGUAGGUGGCAAGCGUUGUCCGGAAUUAUUGGGCGUAAAGCGCGCGCAGGCGGUCCUUUAAGUCUGAUGUGAAAGCCCACGGCUCAACCGUGGAGGGUCAUUGGAAACUGGGGGACUUGAGUACAGAAGAGAAGAGUGGAAUUCCACGUGUAGCGGUGAAAUGCGUAGAGAUGUGGAGGAACACCAGUGGCGAAGGCGACUCUUUGGUCUGUAACUGACGCUGAGGCGCGAAAGCGUGGGGAGCAAACACGAUUAGAUACCCUGGUAGUCCACGCUGUAAACGAUGAGUGCUAAGUGUUAGAGGGUUUCCGCCCUUUAGUGCUGCAGCUAACGCAUUAAGCACU
rnacentral:rRNA from 1 species